UUCACAGAUACACCUGCGCCACCUAUCGGAGGUUACGGCGAUUCCCGUGCGUGUGAUCACUAUACUCGUCUUGCCUUAUAACAUGACGUGUAUGAAAAUGAUGUAAAUAAUCAUUUUUAAAAUGGAAGAAUUUACAAAUUUUCAGGUUAUGGUGGGCCAUCUGGCCACGGUUUUUACCAUAAUAAUGUUCCUGACUGGCGUGCAGAUCUGUUUAAAAAUCUGGAGACAAGGUUCCAGUACAGAUAUAUCUUUCUUCCCUUUCAUUGCCGGUCUGGUCAGCGCAUCCCUUUGGUUGCAGUACGGUUUGUUCGUUCACGAUGCUGUGGUAAUCAUGGUCAAUAGC